rnacentral:tRNA from 1 species
GGCGCUGUGGCUUAGUGGGUAAAGCAGCUGCCUGCAGUGCCAGCAUCCUAUAUUGGUGCCGGUUCAAGUCCCGGCUGCUCCA